AGCCAGGCAGGCCGCUGCAAGGUGCGUGUGUCUUUGUCUCCUCUGCUACAUGCUGGCUGACUGAGUGGCCUGUGGUUUUGAUCGGCUUACUGGAAAUCCAUUGUUUGCUGGCGUGGCAUUGGCGGUUGCAGCUGGAGAUUGUUGCGGCGUGUGGCUUCCAUCUAGUCCUCACUUGUUGGUCCGCUUCCUCUCCGGGAAACUGUGCUUCCACUCCUGGGCACCAAUUGCUGUGGGCAUUGCAGCGCUUUGGACGCUCUGCUGUCUUGUCCUGUCAGUGUGGCGUGAGCAGUUCAGAACGGAACCUGCUGCUAUUUUGGAUAUGUGGGCGUGACUCCUUCGGUCCUGUUGUGAGCGGCUUCUGAAAUCGGACAUCAGCAAUUAUUCCAUUGUUUGAAGUGUUUUGUUUGUUUGCAAUCUUUCUUCCUAACAAGAACAAUGGGAGAGGCGUAAGGGCUGCUACUUUCCCUUAUUACCUGGUUCUGUAGGAGCUGGUUGAUAUGUGA